ACACACACACACACACACACACACACACACACACACACACACACACACACACACACGUUGGAGAUGUGAUUGUAAUAUCAAGAACACCCUACUUGUUGAGUAUUCGUUUAUAGUCAUCACCUCCAAGUUGUUUAGUAUAGAUGUCAUCUAGUUGAUCAAAAGAACGGAGAUAUGAAAGAGUGAUAAGAUCUGAUUUAAUUUUCUCACGAAC
rnacentral:lncRNA from 1 species